GGGGGCAUAGCUCAGCGGAUAGAGCAGUGGUUUUCUAAACCAUUGGUCGGGGGUUCGAGUCCCUCUGCCCCUGCCA
rnacentral:tRNA from 2 species